rnacentral:misc_RNA from 1 species
GAUGAAGAACGUAGCAAAAUGCGAUACGUAAUGUGAAUUGCAGAAUUCAGUGAAUCAUCGAAUCUUUGAACGCAUAUUGCGCUCUCUGGUAUUCCGGAGAGCAUGCUUGUUUGAGUAUCAGUAAACACCUCAACUUCCAUAUCUUUUUUGAAAUGGGAGUUGGACUUGAGUGAUCCCAACGCUUUUCCUCACCGAAAAGUGGCGGGUUACUUGAAAUGCAGGUGCAGCUGGACUUUUCUCUGAGCUAUAAGCAUAUCUAUUUAGUCUGCCUAAAAAACAGAUUAUUACCUUUGCUGCAGCUAACAUAAAGGAGAUUAGUUCUUGUGCUGACUGAUGCAGGAUUCACAAAGACAGGCUUCGGCCGACUUUGUAAACUCGAUCUCAAAUCAAGUAAGACUACCCGCUGAACUUAAGCAUAUCAAUAAGCGGAGGA